UACGUAGGGGGCAAGCGUUGUCCGGAAUCAUUGGGCGUAAAGCGCACGUAGGCGGUCUGUUAUGUCGGAUGUGAAAGCCCUUGGCUCAACUGAGGAAGUGCAUCCGAAACUGGCAGGCUAGAGUACUAAAGAGGAUCGCGGAAUUCCCGGUGUAGAGGUGAAAUUCGUAGAUAUCGGGAGGAACACCGGUGGCGAAGGCGGCGAUCUGGGUAGAUACUGACGCUGAGGUGCGAAAGCGUGGGGAGCGAACAGG
rnacentral:rRNA from 1 species